CCUACAGCCCCCAACCCCACAGCCCCCAACCCCACAGCCCCCAGCCCCACACAUGGCAGCAGAGCAGGGCCGCGGUGACCCCGCUGUGCACCCACCCUCUCCUCGGCAUUGGGACUUCACCCCCUGCCCGGCCCCACUGCUGCCCCACAGCCGACCCACUGCAGCGAAUCCCACUGCGGGGCCCCGUGAGCAGGUACCGGGCGCUCUACGACUACCGACCCCAAAACGGAGAUGAGUUGGAGCUGCGGGACGGAGACCGCCUGGAUGUGCUGCAGUGCUGCGACGAUGGGUGGUUUGUGGGAGUGUCGCAGAGGACGCAGAAGUUCGGAACGUUCCCUGGGAAUUACGUGGCACCGCUGUGACGCCCCCCUCCACCCCACACAUCUGUGGGGCCGAAGCUCCUCCCAGCCCUAUAGGGCCCCGAGCAGCGGCCGAUCCGACCCCCACGGCCUCACUGUGCCCCUUCGCCUCCCCACGCUGCCUUCCUGCCCCACUGCUGUGGGGUCCCACUGCUAUGGGGUCCCACCGCUAUGGCGUCCCACCGCUAUGGGGUCUCCCUGCUAUGGGGUCUCCCUGCUAUGUUGUCCCACUGCUAUGGGGUCUCACCUCUAUGGGGUCCCACAUCCACUUCCGCAUCCCUCAUUAAAGUCAGCUCAGCCCCGGA